CACGUAGUUAGCCGGGGCUUCUUGGUCAGGUACCGUCAUUUUCUUCCCUGCUGAUAGAGCUUUACAUACCGAAAUACUUCUUCACUCACGCGGCGUCGCUGCAUCAGGGUUUCCCCCAUUGUGCAAUAUUCCCCACUGCUGCCUCCCGUAGGAGUUUGGGCAGUGUCUCAGUCCCAAUGUGGCCGUUCACCCUCUCAGGCCGGCUACUGAUCGUCGCUUUGGUAGGCCGUUACCCUGCCAACUGGCUAAUCAGACGCGGGUCCAUCUCACACCGAUAAAUCUUUCCGUCAGUAUCAUGCGAUACCAGCGGGUUAUGCGGUAUUAGCGGUCGUUUCCAACUGUUAUCCCCCUGUGUGAGGCAGGUUACCCACGCGUUACUCACCCGUCCGCCACUCAGUCACAAAAGACUUCAUCCGAAGAAUCGUUCUUAAGCGCUUCGUUCGACUUGCAUGUGUUAAGCACGCCGCCAGCGUUCAUCCUGAGCCAGGAUCAAACUCU
rnacentral:rRNA from 1 species